rnacentral:rRNA from 1 species
UGGCGACCGGCGCACGGGUGAGUAACACGUAUCCAACCUGCCUCAUACUCGGGGAUAGCCUUUCGAAAGAAAGAUUAAUACCCGAUGACAUAGUUCUUCCGCAUGGUAGAACUAUUAAAGAAUUUCGGUCAUCGAUGGGGAUGCGUUCCAUUAGCUUGUUGGCGGGGUAACGGCCCACCAAGGCAUCGAUGGAUAGGGGUUCUGAGAGGAAGGUCCCCCACAUUGGAACUGAGACACGGUCCAAACUCCUACGGGAGGCAGCAG